rnacentral:lncRNA from 1 species
GAGUGCCAUUCCAUAUGAACUUGAUGUGAAUAGUUUGUGAGAUAGAUGACCACAAAAUUAUUUUUGUAUAGGCAAUGCACUUGAGAUUUGCUUUUAAAGCAUAUGGAGAGUGAGCGAUGGUUUCCCCCUUCUAAUCUUGGAAGACGAAGACCCAGAUCUGUUAUUCUUUGAUCCCUGCCGCCUCGACAAAAUUUUUAAGACCAAGAGGAUUGUUGUCAGCUUGGACCUAGCAAGAUAUGUCAUAGUAAUCAUUAAGCAAUCACAUUGGUAAGCAACACUCGAGAGCACAGUAGAACCAAAUAUAUACAUGUUGACCAUAUCUUAAUAAUGAUAGAUCCAUUUUUCUGAAAAUAUAAACAACCAAGCUUCCUUGUAUACAGUGACUCUACCGGCAGUUUGGUUUAUUUGCCUGUGUGUGUGUUGACUUGCUUAAGAAGUCAUAGAUACAAAUAGAAGCAUAAUAAGUGGUUUUAGAAAAUAUAUCAAGUUCUAAAGAUAAAUAAAACUACUUUCAGUAUAUAUAGUAGAUGCCAUUGCAGAUAACACUCCAAUACUAACAUUAGAAAAGGUAAUCUGGUUUUGGUCACCCAUGAAAAAAUUAGAUAAACACCAGAUGGCAAACAAAAUACAUGUUAAGCCUCCAUCCUUGUGAUUAUUGUUUUUCUUGUUCCAGAGCUCCUGUAGAAAUGAUUUACAUGGUGAUCCGGAAAAAGUUGAAGCAAGCAUAUAAAUAGUGACCCUCCUAGUGAGUGAACAAAAUGUAAAAAAACUCAUUUUCAUUUAGUGCAAACUAUGAUUUAAUCUUUCUUCUUUUUCCAACAAAAAUGUUAAUAUUCAGAAGGUAGUUGGAGACAGGGCUACACCUUAUGAAGGUUUUAAUCUUACGGUUCAAUGAAUUGCAUAGGCAGAGCACACAGUUGAUGGAUUCAAACUAUUUUUAAGAGAUGAUGUGGCAAGGCUAAGAAGAUGAAAAUAAUUAAGAAGAAAAGUUCAUGGUCAACAACUUACGAAGAUUUAACUGCGUAGUGCCUCAUGGCAGUCAUCAACCUUUGAGCCGUAGAACUGUAAGAUCAAACUGAGACUCAAGCCUGCAUAACCAUAGGAAGAAAAGGAUCAUCAACAAAGAGGACAAAGUGAAUCAGGAACCAGUUCCUGGUUCCUCUAAAAAAUCAUUCUAAAUGACAAACUGUGAGAAGAAAAAAGAACUGGUCUAAUGACAUAGAUGCGUUAACCGGCAAACACUACCAAGUCAGAUCAAAUACUCAGCUUAUUUCUGUCCCUUUUCAAUAUUAAGAACGAUUAUUAAGUAACCAGGUACAUAACAAAAACAACUAAUGCCUACAUAGUAGCUCAUCUCUCUUAAUACAUCUACACUGAUUUCGAUGUACAAUUUAGGACCAAUGGAAAACCAGAAAAACACAAAAAAAAACUCACACAAUAAAGCUAAAACUAAAUAUUGC